rnacentral:rRNA from 1 species
GCUUGUUUUGACGUUUAGCUGCAGAAGAAGCACCGGCUAACUCCGUGCCAGCAGCCGCGGUAAUACGGAGGGUGCGAGCGUUAAUCGGAAUUACUGGGCGUAAAGCGCAUGCAGGUGGUUUGUUAAGUCAGAUGUGAAAGCCCGGGGCUCAACCUCGGAAUAGCAUUUGAAACUGGCAGACUAGAGUACUGUAGAGGGGGUAGAAUUUCAGGUGUAGCGGUGAAAUGCGUAGAGAUCUGAAGGAAUACCAGUGGCGAAGGCGGCCCCCUGGACAAAGACUGACGCUCAGAUGCGAAAGCGUGGGGAGCAAACAGGAUUAGAUACCCUGGUAG